GAUGAAGAACGUAGUGAAAUGCGAUAAGUAAUGUGAAUUGCAGAAUUCAGUGAAUCAUCGAAUCUUUGAACGCACAUUGCGCCCCUUGGUAUUCCAUGGGGCAUGCCUGUUCGAGCGUCAUUUGUACCUUCAAGCUCUGCUUGGUGUUGGGUGUUUGUCUCGCCUCUGCGUGUAGACUCGCCUCAAAACAAUUGGCAGCCGGCGUAUUGAUUUCGGAGCGCAGUACAUCUCGCGCUUUGCACUCAUAACGACGACGUCCAAAAGUACAUUUUUACACUCUUGACCUCGGAUCAGGUAGGGAUACCCGCUGAACUUAAGCAUAUCAAUAAGCGGAGGA
rnacentral:misc_RNA from 1 species